AUGUAUGUGAUGCGGGUUCAUGUGUUGACACAUGAACCAUUUGAUGCUAAUGUUUAUGUGAUUUGUGCUGUUUUUCAGAAAACAGGAUGAGAGGAACUCGUCGAUCUGCACGAUUGACUGGAGUGCCAUCCGAGGAUGAGGGCAUGAGCGCCCGUCCUCCUACAUUGCCUAGGGCAAUGUCUAGUAGGUCUAGCAGAGAAAGGGCAGUAAGAGACCCUAGAAGGUCUCUGGAUCUGGGUAGAAGCAGAUUAGUGAGGGGAACAGUUCAGGGAGGAAUGUCAGAGGACAUGGGGGAUGAUAUGGAUAUAGAGCAGAGGAGAGAUGGCAGUCUGGGAGUCAGCAUGUCAGAAGAGGGAAUGGGAGAGUCCCAAG
rnacentral:lncRNA from 1 species